GUGCACUUCGGCAGCACAUAUGCUAAAAUUAGAAUUGGAACCAUACAGAGAAGAUGAGCAUGGUUCAUGCACAAGGAUGACAUGCAAAUCCUUGAAGCACUCCUUAUUUUU